rnacentral:lncRNA from 1 species
AUGGAGGGAGGGAGACACACACACACACACACACACACACACACAGUCAGACAGACAGACAGACAGACAGACAGACAGAUAGAUAGACAGACAGACAGACAGAUAGACAGACAGAGAGAAGAGAGAGAGAGAGAGAGAGAGAGAGAGAGAGAGAGAAGGGGGAGAAAGACAGAGAAGAGGGAGGAGAGACAGAGACAGAGGAGAGUGAGAGAGAAAGAGAGAGAGAGAAGGGGAGAAGGAAAGACAGAAAGAGAGCCAAGAGGCCCAGAAUCACACACACACACACACACACACACACACACACACAGAAAGAGAAAUGUGCUUAUCUGUGUACCCACACAUCCAUCCAUUAAAUAACAAAUAACUGGUAGGAAGAGCAGUCACUUGGGAAUAUGGGCUCAUGGGAAAAGCCUCUGGAAUGCUGGUUCCAGGCUGCUGGUCCCUGGGCAUGUCUAGGAAUUUGGCACUUGGGAACAGGACAAUCACAGGCUCUCUGGAGAAGCCCAGUAACUGGGCCAGGUAAACACAGCCCAGGAAGAUUGGGGCUUACAGAGUGGAAACAUGAGGAGGAAACAGGAGACAACAGACACACCCAGAGAUAGACAGACGGGAGGGAUUGGAGUUGAGCCUUCCAAGGACUGAUGCAGUUUAUAGACAGCAGCAGCAACUGCGGAGCCCUCACUCACUCCACGAAGCAUUGGCAUUGGGCUGGAGACCUGCUUCCUUCUUAGGCAGUUUAUCCCAGGGCACUUCAUCCUCCAUGCAGCUAGGGAUGGGCAGAAUGCUGAGCUAAGCUGAAAGGUACUAGCUCUUACCAACUCCAUCAGGGCAGCAUGUCUGCUUUAGGACCAAGCUGCCUCUUGAGGUGGCAGAGCCCCAACUCUGAAGAGUGGAAGCUGGGGGUGGGAAGAGGUGUGUUUAAAAGGUACCACAUGGUGGCUUCUUGACUUGAAAUCGCCUACCACACGGUGCUGGGAUUAUUACAUGGAAACUGGAGAACCCAGCCCAUUUCUCAAGGCCAAACUCAAGACACUUUUACUAACCUGAGCUUGCUCAAUUAAGCACUGCUUGAUCCUUGGGUGAGUGUUCUAACUUUCCUCCUUCUCUUUCUUCUGACCUUUAUGGAUGCAUUCCUAGGUGAGAAGGGAGCACGAGGAGGCACGCUUCUCUUCUUCCCAUUUUCUGCCAGAGUUUUUAUUACAUUUUCAUUAUUACACUUUCAAGAGAUGUUUGUCAUUUCUUUAAGUUUCCCCCAUUCAGGUCCCGACCCAAGGUCUUUUGGUCAGACUAAGUAAGUGACCAGCACUCCACUGGAAGCAAGCCUUUUACUGACCUUCAUGGCCCUGAGCUUAAAGAA